rnacentral:tRNA from 1 species
GCCUGGCGGGCUCAGUGGGUGGAGCACGUGACUCUUAAUCUCGGGUUGUGGGUUUGAGCCCCACGUUGGGUG